rnacentral:rRNA from 1 species
UACGUAGGUGGCAAGCGUUAUCCGGAUUUAUUGGGCGUAAAGGGAACGCGGGCGGUCUUUUAAGUCUGAUGUGAAAGCCUUCGGCUUAACCGGAGUAGUGCAUUGGAAACUGGGAGACUUGAGUGCAGAAGAGGAGAGUGGAACUCCAUGUGUAGCGGUGAAAUGCGUAGAUAUUAGGAGGAACACCAGUGGCGAAGGCGGCUUACUGGACAGUAACUGACGUUGAGGCUCGAAAGCGUGGGGAGCAAACAGG